UACAGAGGGUGCGAACGUUGCUCGGAAUUACUGGGCGUAAAGCGCGUGUAGGCGGGGCCGCAAGUCAGAUGUGAAAUCCCCGGGCUCAACCCGGGAACUGCAUCUGAAACUUCGGUCCUUGAGUACUGGAGAGGGUGGCGGAAUUCCUGGUGUAGAGGUGAAAUUCGUAGAUAUCAGGAGGAACACCGGUGGCGAAGGCGGCCACCUGGACAGUAACUGACGCUGAGACGCGAAAGCGUGGGGAGCAAACAGG
rnacentral:rRNA from 1 species